rnacentral:rRNA from 1 species
CGCAGCAGGCGCGAAAACUUUACAAUGCGGGAAACCGUGAUAAGGGGACACCGAGUGCCAGCAUCAUAUGCUGGCUGUCCAGGUGUGUAAAAUACACCUGUUAGCAAGGGCCGGGCAAGACCGGUGCCAGCCGCCGCGGUAACACCGGCGGCCCGAGUGGUGAUCGUGAUUAUUGGGUCUAAAGGGUCCGUAGCCGGUUUGGUCAGUCCUCCGGGAAAUCUGACGGCUCAACCGUUAGGCUUUCGGGGGAUACUGCCAGGCUUGGAACCGGGAGAGGUAAGAGGUACUACAGGGGUAGGAGUGAAAUCCUGUAAUCCA